rnacentral:lncRNA from 1 species
CUUCCGAUCUUGAAAAUAUACCCGAUCUGCCAGAAGACGAUCAAGCACUUUUCCCAUCACCGAUAAAAGGCUGAUGGGUCGGUACGAGCCACGAUCCCGUGGAGGGGGGCCGGAUGGUGAAGGACGGGCUCAGUACCCCGAAAAACUUUUCAGGAGUUACCAAAUCCGGGACGCCACGAUCAGGGGGCUGGAUGGUGAAGGACGGGUCCAGUACCCGAAAAACUUUUCGGGAGUUACCAAAUCCGGGACGCGAAUCCGGUCCUCCUGGGUGGCAUGUCGACAGCGUUACCACUUGGCCAUCCAGCCGCCCUUUCGAUAAACGUUAGUUUACAUUAUAAUCAUUUUAAUAUUUAUACUAUAAAAGGAGUAAUAAUAGUUAUGUAAUUAAUCAGUGACGUACUAAGGAGGCGGAGAGGGAGGAUCACCCCGGGCCUCUUAUCAAGGGGGCCUCUAAAGAACCUUAAGUUUUAAGUAUAUGUAGCUAUAUGUAGGAAUAUAUAAAAAAGGACUGUAUU